rnacentral:rRNA from 1 species
AACGAACGCUGGCGGCAGGCUUAACACAUGCAAGUCGAACGCAUCCUUCGGGGUGAGUGGCAGACGGGUGAGUAACGCGUGGGAACGUGCCCUUCAGUUCGGGACAACCCAGGGAAACUUGGGCUAAUACCGGAUACGUGCGAGAGCAGAAAGAUUUAUCGCUGAAGGAUCGGCCCGCGUCUGAUUAGCUAGUUGGUGGGGUAAUGGCCCACCAAGGCGACGAUCAGUAGCUGGUCUGAGAGGAUGAUCAGCCACAUUGGGACUGAGACACGGCCCAAACUCCUACGGGAGGCAGCAGUGGGGAAUAUUGGACAAUGGGCGCAAGCCUGAUCCAGCCAUGCCGCGGGAGUGAUGAAGGCCUUAGGGUUGUAAAGCUCUUUCGUCCGGGACGAUAAUGACGGUACCGGAAGAAGAAGCCCCGGCUAACUUCGUGCCAGCCGCCGCGGUAA